AGGAAUUUUAUUAACGCAAUGUACAAAUGACCGUCUCCAAAGACUAUAGGGAGUUAGCAUUACCUCAUUUGUCUAAAGUUUUCCUUCUAUAAUUCUUCUCGAUUUGAUUGGAAAUUUGACUUUCGGUCAAAUAUUUAGCGAGAAUUGCAUGUUGAACUCACUUUACGGAUUGGACUUGGUCAAACACAUGCAACUACAAUAAAAACAACAAACAACAACAAAAACCACUAAUAAGAGAAAAAUAUGCAUGGAGAAAGAAAAAUAAGCUAAAAAAAGUUAUCAAAUUACCUUAUUUUCGUAUCUGACUCCUGUUUGCCAAAAAGUCGUGCCGAUUCAGUUUUUGGGCCUUCUUUUUGUGAUCUCUUUCUGCUCCUCCACCUCUUUAUGAUGUCAUUCUGCUCCUCUACUAGUAUGAUCUCGUUCUGCGUCACCUCAUCGUCGCUGAAAAAAAGGUUGAUGAGUUUUCUUGACCAAGUCGAUAGAUCACAUCCCAAUCUAGUGCGAGAGCAUUGCUAUUGUCUAAACAUGUCGAUCGUCUGAGGAUGUACUGUUGAUACUGAGAGAAUGUAUUAACUCCGAGAGCAUCGGCAAACAUAUUGAUGAAUUCCUUGUAUUGGAAUCUUGAAUUCAUCAAAAUCUUCAGUUAUCGAAACCUCAGUAUGUAGCUUCACUAACUAGACUAUCUAUACUAUCGGCCUUGAGAACGUCGGGAAAAAACGUUGAUGAAUUCCUCUUCAUCGAAGAUUGAAACGCGGAAUUCAUCAACAUCAUCUUCAUCCGCAGAAACCUUAGCACAUAACUUUAUUUUUCAGGCAUACUCAUGAUUUUCAAUGAAAGUUCUCCAUGGAACUGAAUUUGAAUUUGUAUACUUAUAGUUCUAUUAGCGUGUGUUUUAUGUAUUGUAUUGUAGGAUGGGGUGAAGUGGAGUGGGGGUGGGAGUGGUAAAAUGGACCACAAAUUGACUUUUUUUCUAUUUAUCUAUAUUUAUUUUUACUGUGCAUAUGAAGCUCUGUUCCCGUGUAGGAAUAUAUUGGUAUAUAGUUGUUGUAUGUAAUGAUCCUAUAUAAUUGUACCUGGUAUGUUGUUGUUAUAUGUCAUUGGGGCUUACUUGUUAAACAAGUAGCAUUACUAUACUCUCAUUUUAUUUGUG
rnacentral:lncRNA from 1 species